rnacentral:rRNA from 1 species
GAUGAACGCUGGCGGCGUGCCUAAUACAUGCAAGUCGAGCGAACAGAUAAGGAGCUUGCUCCUUUGACGUUAGCGGCGGACGGGUGAGUAACACGUGGGUAACCUACCUAUAAGACUGGGAUAACUUCGGGAAACCGGAGCUAAUACCGGAUAACAUUUGGAACCGCAUGGUUCUAAAGUGAAAGAUGGUUUUGCUAUCACUUAUAGAUGGACCCGCGCCGUAUUAGCUAGUUGGUAAGGUAACGGCUUACCAAGGCGACGAUACGUAGCCGACCUGACAGGGUGAUCGGCCACACUGGAACUGAGACACGGUCCAGACUCCUACGGGAGGCAGCAGUAGGGAAUCUUCCGCAAUGGGCGAAAGCCUGACGGAGCAACGCCGCGUGAGUGAUGAAGGGUUUCGGCUCGUAAAACUAUGUUAUUAGGGAAGAACAAAUGUGUAAGUAACUGUGCACGUCUUGACGGUACCUAAUCAGAAAGCCACGGCUAACUACGUG